UGUCCGAAUGGGGGAACCCGGCAGGUAAUGCCUGUCACUCACUACUGUUAAGGUAGUGAAGAGGAAGACGCAGUGAACUGAAACAUCUAAGUAGCUGCAGGAAGAGAAAGCAAAAGCGAUUGCCUUAGUAGCGGCGAGCGAAACGGCAGGAGGGCAAACCGAGGAGUUUACUCCUCGGGGUUGUAGGACUGCAAUGUGGACUUAAAGAGUAUAGAAGAACUACCUGGGAAGGUAGGCCAAAGAGAGUAAUAGCCUCGUAUUUGAAAUAUUCUUUAUACCUAGCAGUAUCCUGAGUACGGCGAGACACGCGAAAUCUCGUCGGAAUCCGGGAGGACCAUCUCCCAACCCUAAAUACUCUCUAGUGACCGAUAGUGAACCAGUACCGUGAGGGAAAGGUGAAAAGUACCCCGGAAGGGGAGUGAAAUAGAACCUGAAACCGUGUGCCUACAACAAGUUCGAGCCCGUUAAUGGGUGAGAGCGUGCCUUUUGUAGAAUGAACCGGCGAGUUACGAUAUGAUGCGAGGUUAAGUUGAAGAGACGGAGCCGUAGGGAAACCGAGUCUUAAUAGGGCGGAUUAGUAUUAUGUCGUAGACCCGAAACCAUGUGACCUACCCAUGAGCAGGUUGAAGGUGCGGUAAGACGCACUGGAGGACCGAACCAGGGCACGUUGAAAAGUGCUUGGAUGACUUGUGGGUAGCGGAGAAAUUCCAAACGAACUUGGAGAUAGCUGGUUCUCUCCGAAAUAGCUUUAGGGCUAGCGUCGACAUUUGAGAAUCUUGGAGGUAGAGCACUGUUUGGAUGAGGGGGCCAUCUCGGUUUACUGAUUUCAGAUAAACUCCGAAUGCCAAAGAUUUAUGGUCGGCAGUCAGACUGCGAGUGCUAAGAUCCGUAGUCGAAAGGGAAACAGCCCAGACCACCAGCUAAGGUCCCAAAAUAAUUGUUAAGUGGAAAAGGAUGUGGGGUUGCACAGACAACUAGGAUGUUAGCUUAGAAGCAGCUAUUCAUUCAAAGAGUGCGUAAUAGCUCACUAGUCGAGUGACCCUGCGCCGAAAAUGUACCGGGGCUAAAACAAUUUACCGAAGCUGUGGAUAACACAUUAGUGUUAUGGUAGGAGAGCGUUCUAUGUGUGAAGAAGGUAUACCGUGAGGAGUGCUGGAACGCAUAGAAGUGAGAAUGCCGGUAUGAGUAGCGAAAGAUGGGUGAGAAUCCCAUCCACCGUAAGACUAAGGUUUCCAGGGGAAGGCUCGUCCGCCCUGGGUUAGUCGGGACCUAAGGAGAGACCGAAGGGUGUAUCCGAUGGACAACAGGUUGAUAUUCCUGUACUAGAGUAUGAAGUGAUGGAGGGACGCAGUAGGCUAACUAAAGCGGGCGAUUGGAAGAGCCCGUCUAAGCAGUGAGGUGUGAUAUGAGUCAAAUGCUUGUAUCUGUAACAUUGAGCUGUGAUGGGGAGCGAAGUUUAGUAGCGAAGUUAGUGACGUCACACUGCCGAGAAAAGCUUCUAGCGAUGUAUCAUACUCUACCCGUACCGCAAACCGACACAGGUAGUCGAGGCGAGUAGCCUCAGGUGAGCGAGAGAACUCUCGUUAAGGAACUCGGCAAAAUGACCCCGUAACUUCGGGAGAAGGGGUGCUGACUUAAAGUCAGCCGCAGUGAAUAGGCCCAAGCAACUGUUUAUCAAAAACACAGCUCUCUGCUAAAUCGUAAGAUGAUGUAUAGGGGGUGACGCCUGCCCGGUGCUGGAAGGUUAAGAGGAGGGUUUAGCGCAAGCGAAGAUCUGAAUUGAAGCCCCAGUAAACGGCGGCCGUAACUAUAACGGUCCUAAGGUAGCGAAAUUCCUUGUCGGGUAAGUUCCGACCCGCACGAAAGGCGUAAUGAUUUGGGCACUGUCUCAACGAGAGACUCGGUGAAAUUUUAGUACCUGUGAAGAUGCAGGUUACCCGCGACAGGACGGAAAGACCCCAUGGAGCUUUACUGCAGUUUGAUAUUGAGUAUCUGUACCACAUGUACAGGAUAGGUAGGAGCCUA
rnacentral:rRNA from 1 species